rnacentral:rRNA from 1 species
UACCAGCACCCCGAGUGGUCGGGACGAUUAUUGGGCCUAAAGCAUCCGUAGCCGGUUCUACAAGUCUUCCGUUAAAUCCAUCUGCUUAACAGAUGGGCUGCGGAGGAUACUAUGGAGCUAGGAGGCGGGAGAGGCAAGCGGUACUUAGUGGGUAGGGGUAAAAUCCGUUGAUCCACUGAAGACCACCAGUGGCGAAGGCGGCUUGCCAGAACGCGCUCGACGGUGAGGGAUGAAAGCUGGGGGAGCAAACCGGAUUAGAUACCCGGGUAGUCCCAGCUGUAAACGAUGCAGACUCGGUGAUGAAAAGGCUUCGUGCCUUUUCAGUGCCGCAGGGAAGCCGUUAAGUCUGCCGCCUGGGGAGUACGGUCGCAAGACUAGAAACUUAAAGGAAUUGGCGGGGGAGCACCACAAGGGGUGAAGCCUGCGGUUC